GAGUUUGAUCGUGGCUCAGAUUGAACGCUGGCGGCAUGCCUUACACAUGCAAGUCGAACGGCAGCACGGGAGCUUGCUCCUGGUGGCGAGUGGCGAACGGGUGAGUAAUGCAUCGGAACGUAUCCUGGAGUGGGGGAUAACGUAGCGAAAGUUACGCUAAUACCGCAUAUUCUGUGAGCAGGAAAGCGGGGGACCUUCGGGCCUCGCGCUCUUGGAGCGGCCGAUGUCGGAUUAGCUAGUUGGUGAGGUAAAGGCUCACCAAGGCGACGAUCCGUAGCAGGUCUGAGAGGAUGAUCUGCCACACUGGAACUGAGACACGGUCCAGGCUCCUACGGGAGGCAGCAGUGGGGAAUUUUGGACAAUGGGGGCAACCCUGAUCCAGCCAUGCCGCGUGAGUGAAGAAGGCCU
rnacentral:rRNA from 1 species